rnacentral:rRNA from 1 species
CCUACGGGAGGCAGCAGUGAGGAAUAUUGGUCAAUGGUCGGGAGACUGAACCAGCCAAGCCGCGUGAGGGAGGAAGGUACAGAGUAUCGUAAACCUCUUUUGUCAGGGAACAAAGACUGGGACGCGUCCCCGGAUGAGUGUACCUGAAGAAAAAGCAUCGGCUAACUCCGUGCCAGCAGCCGCGGUAAUACGGAGGAUGCGGGCGUUAUCCGGAUUUAUUGGGUUUAAAGGGUGCGCAGGCGGUCUGUUAAGUCAGGGGUCAACGUGGGAAGUGCCUUUGAAACUGGCAGACUGGAGUGUGUGAGAGGAUAGGGGAAUUCGAGGUGUAGGGGUGAAAUGCGUAGAUAUCUGGAGGAACAUCAGUGGCGAAGGCAACUAUCUGGCACAUAACUGACGCUGAGGAGCGAAAGCGUGGGUAGCAAACAGGAUUAGAUACCCGAGUAGUC